rnacentral:tRNA from 1 species
GCAUCAUUGGUCUAGUGGUAGAAUUCAUCGUUGCCAUCCAACUGAUUAGCUAAUCAGUCACGUGAUUCGAUGAGGCCCGUGUUCGAUUCACGGAUGAUGCA